rnacentral:miRNA from 1 species
AGCUCUGAUACCAUGUGGAUGAGA